rnacentral:rRNA from 1 species
ACUAACGUUGGCGACGUGCCUAACACAUGCAAGUCGAGCGGCCCUUCGGGGCAGCGGCAGACGGCUGAGUAACACGUCCGUAACCUACCUCAAAGUGGAGGAUAGCUCGUUGAAAGACGGGGUAAUACUCCAUGUGGUGUCACCAUAAUUUGGUGCCAUUAAAGAUUUAUCGCUUUGAGAGGGGCGGGCGGCCUAUCAGGUUGUUGGUGAGGUAAAGGCUCACCAAGCCUAUGACGGGUAGCUGGUCUGAGAGGAUGUACCAGCCAGACCGGGACUGAGACACGGCCCGGACUCCUACGGGAGGCAGCAGUUGGGAAUUUUGCGCAAUGGACGAAAGUCUGACGCAGCAACGUCGCGUGCAGGAAGACGCACUUCGGUGUGUAAACUGCUUUUAUUUGGGAAUAAUUUUUGAAGGUACCUUAUGAAUAAGCACCGGCUAACCUCGU